GAUGAACGCUGGCGGCGUGCCUAAUACAUGCAAGUCGAGCGAACAGACGAGGAGCUUGCUCCUCUGACGUUAGCGGCUGACGGGUGAGUAACACGUGGAUAACCUACCUAUAAGACUGGGAUAACUUCGGGAAACCGGAGCUAAUACCGGAUAAUAUAUUGAACCGCAUGGUUCAAUAGUGAAAGACGGCUUUGCUGUCUCUUAUAGAUGGAUCCGCGCCGCAUUAGCUAGUUGGUAAGGUAACGGCUUACCAAGGCAACGAUGCGUAGCCGACCUGAGAGGGUGAUCGGCCACACUGGAACUGAGACACGGUCCAGACUCCUACGGGAGGCAGCAGUAGGGAAUCUUCCGCAAUGGGCGAAAGCUUGACGGAGCAACGCCGCGUGAGUGAUGAAGGUCUUCGGAUCGUAAAACUCUGUUAUUAGGGAAGAACAAAUGUGGAAGUAAAUAUGCACGUCUUGACGGUACCUAAUCAGAAAGCCACGGCUAACUACGUG
rnacentral:rRNA from 1 species